AAUGGGCGCAAGCCUGAUCCAGCCAUGCCGCGUGAGUGAUGAAGGCCCUUGGGUCGUAAAGCUCUUUCGCCAGGGAUGAUAAUGACAGUACCUGGUAAAGAAACCCCGGCUAACUCCGUGCCAGCAGCCGCGGUAAUACGGAGGGGGUUAGCGUUGUUCGGAAUUACUGGGCGUAAAGCGCGCGUAGGCGGAUUAGUCAGUCAGAGGUGAAAUCCCAGGGCUCAACCCUGGAACUGCCUUUGAUACUGCUAGUCUUGAGUUCGAGAGAGGUAAGUGGAAUUCCGAGUGUAGAGGUGAAAUUCGUAGAUAUUCGGAGGAACACCAGUGGCGAAGGCGGCUUACUGGCUCGAUACCGACGCUGAGGUGCGAAAGUGUGGGGAGCAAACAGGAUU
rnacentral:rRNA from 1 species